UACGCCCACAUCACGUUGAAACACGGGUUGCCGUAUGAUCACCGAAGUUAAGCAAGGUUGUGCCUAGUCAGUAUCUAGAUGGGUCACCGCUUGCCAAUACCAAGUGCUGUAAG